GUGACCUGUUAAUCGUCGCUGGCCGGGUGCGUGACGCCGUGGGAGCCGCAGUCCCGAGAUGGCGGCCACCCGCUGCCGGCGGUUUCCGGAGCUCUGCGAGGAGUGGCCGGUGGAGGGGACCAAGCGGGUCCGGGACCUGGGCGCCUUCCCGCGGCAGCGGGGGCCCAGGCCUUCCGGGAGGGGGCGAGCACCCAGUGAUAGGACGGAAGAAUCCCAUGCACCACUACAGACUAGGGACCGAAUGGCUAGACAGCAGUUCUGCAGAAAAGGACCUACGGGUUACAGUGGACGAGAAGCUGGAUAUUUUGGGCUGUAUAAGUAGGGGCAUUGCCAGCAGAUUGAGGGACGUGAUCGUUCCCCCCAUUUGACAUUGAUGAGGCUUCAUCCGGAGUAUCCAGUUCAUCUGUGUCCAGUUUUGGGCCCCACACUACAAGAAGGAUGUGAAAAAAUUGGAAAGCAUCCACCGAAAGACAGGCACAGGAAGAGAAGUCACAGGUAGCAGCAGGCUGGAUGGCUCAGGGGAAGGGUGAGAAGAUGGAAUCUUUCAUCUUUAAGGUCCUGCUUUGAACCCAACUCAGUCUGCACAGAACACCAAGAGGCAGGACUUGUGUACGACCAAGCCCGCAGAUCCCAGUCUUCUGCCUAGGCCUGACAACCACUGCCCCACUGCCAGUCUUCUGCCUAGGCCUGACAACCACCACCCCACUGCUCGCCUGCAGAAUUGGAUUUGGAUUUAUGGAGGAUUUGUGUGUUGGAUUUAUGGAGGAUUCAUUCGGGCACCAGGCACAAUGUCGUUCCUACAGGACGGGCAUGCCCAGCUCUCACAGUCUACUUCCUGUAGGCCUGACUUCUGCUCAGUUUGGUUCUGUGUCUGCACAGCUAUCGUUCAUGGUUUUAUGGAGAAGGCCCAACGAGAUGCACCAUGCUUGGCUACAGAGCCAGCCUGCCAAUGGCCCCAAAUGGCAUACGUAACAGGAACCACUUGAGACCUGAAUGCUGCCAAGGUACCUCCUCUGGUGACCCUUUCCCUUCUAGCAUCUCCCCUCAUCAGUAUCCCAAAAUGCCCUGCAGGGUGGGAUGGGCUCUUACUCCAGGGAGCAGCCGGGUCAUUCCGUCCACCGCCCUGCCCUCAGAUCACUCCCUUGCCCGGUACAUGCUCCUGCUUCCAGGCAGAUGGGGAGUGGGGAUAGUCAAUGACACCUGUGCAGUCUAGUCUCCCCCCCCCCCCGCAGUGCCCAAAGCCAGUUGCUCCUUCAGUCAACACAAGUACUGAUGAAGACAAUGGUGUGCUGUGCCCCUCUAUAGCUCCUUUAAUCUGAGCAGCUCCAAGGGGCUUUUCCCACAAGUCACCCUGUGCCCCUAGGAAACCGGGAAGCCUCAUGACCCCUCCGGCUACUAAUGGGCAAACAGAAGCAGGGAAAAAUUAAGUGACUUGCCCACAGUCACCCAGCGUGUCGCAAACAGCAUUAGAAUCCGUGAUUUGGGACUUCCAGUUCCAUCCCCCACUCCCUUGCCGGGAAGCGGAGACCCCGGCUGCAAUUCACAAGUCCCUCCAGAGCGCAGCCCAGGGUUUGGAGAGGCCAGUAUAAAAGGCUACUGGAUAAAAAAAUCAAUAUUGGCCUUGGAACUAACAUGAGCAUCUCUAACGCCAGCUCGUUCUGAAACCAGCCGCUCUGCUGGGAUGAGAAGCCCUGCUCCCAGCAGGAAACGCCGCUGAUCAGCUGCUCCAGCACCAGCCGCAUCAUAAAUACAGAUCUCGUUUGGGCCUGGGGUGGGAGCAGCACGUCCCGCGGACUUCUAUACUCUGCAUAAGCCUCUCUUCUCUCUGCAUUUCUAGCCUUAGACCCGGCCGUUCUCAGGGCAGAAAAGGCUGUGGUCUGAUUCCGCAUCAAGGUAAGACGGAGGCCCCGUGAGAAAGGGAGGGUUGAGUAAUCGGAAUGCUACACAUCACUGGUAUCGCUCCCCCAGCCCUUCCUGGGCGAGUGAUGCUUGUCUGAGAGCAGAGACGCUGAUCUAGGCUACAUUAGAGAAACGUAGAUCCUGAACUUGGAACUUGCCCAAACGCCUGGGAGCUAGACAUGCAGAUUUCAUGAACCUCAUGCUCAGGGUAUAAGCCAAUCUCUAGUUACUAGGAGGAAACCUAACGAGGGCAGGGGAGAAGAGAGGGAUUAUCCCACAGCUGCCUCAGGUGCGGUUUCUUGAACCUUCCUCUAAAAGCACGUGUAAGAGAGAAUCCUGAUCCAGAUGGCGCAAUGGUUAGGCCAUCAUGAGGGACGUUUAAACACGCAUCUGAGAAGUUGGCUCAUCAGCUCCCCACCCAUUGCAGUUCCAUCCUUUAAACAAGAUCUCACGACCAGGGUUUAUCCCGGCAGCUGUAGGCAACCUUUCUCCUCCCCCCACGGCUGCUUCUCUCCACCCCAGAGACAGCUGCAGUUCAGUGAUGUUUGGAAUAAACGGUGCUGCAGGAAGCAUGGUCUGGUGGUUAAAGCCAGAGAGUGCUGGCUUCUAUUUCUGGGGCUGCCACAGAUAAUCACACCCUUCUCUGCCUCAGUGUCCCUGUCUGUAAAACAGGGCUCAUGCCUCCCUACCUCGCAGGGCUGGCAGGAGACUCGGGGCCCCUCUUCCAGAGAUGCAGAAGCGCCUGCGUCUCCCCUCGAUCACCACUGGCGCUGCAGGUGCAGAGCACUUCUGAAAAUCAGGCCCCAAUGAAAAUAAGGGACGAGGAUUAUCAGCUCCUUGGGGCAGGGCCGUCUUUUUGUUCUGGGUUUGUACAGCGCCUAGCACAAUGGGGUCCUGCAUGUUGCCACAACAGACAUAAUGAAUGGUAGGUGCCCAACUCCCCUUGAAACUGAAAGGGCACUGCAUUCUCCCACCCUUCCUGUCUAACGGGCUCCUCAGAGGGAAAGUCCUAGAGACGUGCAGUGAAUUGGGUACGGGCUGACAGCUUAAAUCACUGGUGCCCAUUUCCAGUUAGUGGAGGAACCGGAUUCACCUUUCCCUUUCACAUCUCCCCUUCCAAUCGCCUGUGACAGCCCUCCACCGCAGCAGAGCAGAUUGCACGGGAAGCCCGCUGGCCUCGCAGCAGCAAGGGAAUGGAGAGAGCAGCGGGGCCCUAAGCAUGACAACACCAGCUGACAGGGCAUGGCAGCGAGGCACUGAGAGGCGGCUGCUGGAGUCUCUGACAGACGCUUGGUCAGCACAGCUAGGGGAUUUUUGGGGAGGCUCGUGACCAGGCCCGCAAAGGUCUGAAAGUUAAAUCUGGCUCGGAGCAAUUAGCUCUGACGAACUGACAGCGGCGCCUCUGCUGUGCAGCUCCAAAAGCACCCCUUCCCUCUGCCCCUCCCCAUGCAAAACAUGAAAGGAGAGCUCCAGUACCUGCAACCAGCCUUGUGCAUUACAGGGGCAGCAUGGAAGAUUCUCUUCUGGGCAUUGGACAUGGGGGGACUCAAGAUUUUCACAGACUAGUUUUUCCGAAUCCAGCUAAUUAGGAUCACAGCAGGCAAACGCCGCUGUGGGUUCAGUCCUUGAAGGGUAUGCAGAGCGUGAAAGGCAGCUUGUCGCUUUUAACAGGUCCGUGAGCCACUGGGAAGGGGCGGGAGGAGAGUUUCAAACUCAGAUCAGUGCAUGACGAGAAGUCGUGAGCAGCACAGCGAGACGACGCUGCCUUACACACAAGGCAGUGCUGCUCCAGGGACAAUCCAGAGACUGCCCUGCACAAGGCAAGAGCACAACGGGACUCUCACCCAGCACCUGGUGCUUGAAGUCAGGGCAUUGGGAGAAGGGCAGUGUGACCUAGUGGAUAGGGCAUCAGACAGCAUCAGGAGACCUGAGUCCCAUUGCUGGGUCUGGGCAAGUCGCUGUGCCUUUCUGUGCCUCAGUUUCUCCACUCACUCGGUCUUAUCUAGUUAGAUUGUAAGCUCUUUAGGGCAGAGGCUGCCUGCAUCUGUCCUGUGUCUAGCCCAAUGCAGCCACUAGAGGCUACUGUAAUGCUAAUUAAUAACAAGAAGAUGAGGAAAUUCAUUUCUCAAACCCACCCUGGCCCUGAAAUUCUUUAUUUACUGCUGCUUAGGAAUCAAUGGAAGAGGAGGGGAAAUGAGAAUUCGAAUGAAAGAACUGCCUGUGCCCCACUUAGCCCAGCCCAGCUUCGGGAAGGGGGGUUGUUCUGUCCCCUUCCUCGGCGCUUCGCUUGUGCUAAAAAAGCUGUCGGUGACUCACCCUAGAGGAUCCUGACCCCUAACUAGCUUAAGAAGUUAGUUUCAGGUUCACCCAGCAGCCACCAUGGCUCAUGUCUCUAUCUGGGGUGGUUUGGCCUGGAACCAACCCCAAAGCUGAGGUUUAUAACUGACAGACUCGUAUUUAAUCCUUUGUUAAUUUCUGCUUAUCAUCUAACAACAUGAUUAGUAGGAAGCAGGUUCUCUGGCUCUGGGUAGUUUUCAUAAGCACUGGGAUUGUUUUAAUGUGUCUUCCCCCUCUCCAGUGGUUCAGAAACCCAAAGGAUUGUGUUAGUAUUUUAAAACUUAGCAUCUUUCCUUCGUGACUCCCCCACAUCGGUCCAGAGCAGAUGAUUACACAUCCGGAGGGAGACCUCCACCACACACCUACAUGCUGUGGAAGUGAUGCUCCUAAUUCUGGCACGCUGGCAGUUGGUUCACCUUGAAACUAGGGGAGGGAAUAUCAGGCUGCUGAAAGACACCAUCUUUCAAAUGCCAGGUUCCAACCCAGUCCUGACCAGCAAUGGCCACAGAACAUCUCAUGGCACUGCCCACAAUUGGAGUGCCCAGCUGGAUUUUGCCACCUUCAAUUUCAGUCGGGUACAGCAUUCUUUGCUUCUUGUCCCAAGCUAGACUCGGGCAGAGUUGCUGUGCACCAACACCUGCUACUUCCCCCCCUAGAGGUGGCUGCAGCUCACUGACUCAGCCGUGAGCUCUCUGUACGGUUGUAUUUUUAUUUCUACGGUACCCUGGGAGCGUCUGAUGCUUUGCAGACAAAAAAAAAAAAGAAACCAAGUCUCUGCCCUGGGGUGCUUCCAGUUCAGCUCAGACCAAGGACAGGUAAGAACAUCAAAAUGAAGGAGGAAGGUUAGCGUACAAAGGACAAAAGGGGAGAAGUGGUGGAUCACAGAUCAGAAUGGGAGGGGCAAAUUAAGGCGCAAGACUGAGGGCGCAGUUCACAUAUCAGUGUGGGUCUUGCAGGGAGGCGGUAUCUCUGUACAGGAACUCAGUAUUAUUCAAAGGACUUCCCCCUGCAGGGCAAGAAACCUCCAAGGCCAGGAGCCCUGGAAAGCCAGGACAGUAAAUGCAAGUGGGCUGGGGAAGCUUGCACCACGCCUGGCUGUGCCGUACCAAGCUUGGGGCAAUGCUGGUAGAGGAAGAGAGCCUGCGGCACACGUCCCGCUCCAUCCUUCAGAACUGCCACUCACAGCACAGAUCCCCCGCUGACUGGUUCGGAGGCAAGUGGCACAAUCAGAAGGGAGGCACGAGCCAACUAUCCUGGCAAACAGAAGCUUUGAUAAACCAUCAGCACAAACAGCUGUUCCGCGGGAUCAUUAAAAAGGCCCCGCAUAAAGAACCUGGCUAGUCAACACCUGGCUCUGACCGAAACUGAAAAGAAGCCAGCGGGGGGAGCGGCAGCCACUCGGCUCUGGGGUGCAGGAGGUUCUAGCGUGGCUGUGGCUGUCACUGCAGCACAGGGUGCCUGGGGUAGCGUUAUGAGCAUGCCCAGCUCCCUGCUGUGCCAGGCAUCCCGCUGGGGAAAAUAACACUCCUGGCAUUGGCAUUGAACUGCCCCACCCAGGGGCUGCAGUAGGGGAUCUGGUUGGGUAGCUGAUGAAACUGACGAACCCCAGAAUUCCAGACCACCAGCCCCAGCACCUUCCUGUGAACUUUGACCCAUCUCUGUUCCCAUUAAGGGAUGGAUCAUUCCAAUUCUAAUCACGGCAUCCCAACUGUGGGAUAGGUUGCUGUCUCUGUAUUAUGGGCCGGGGGCAGCAGCUUGCUGGAUAUUUACCCCUGUUCCUUGGGGCACAGCUCUGCUAGGGAUUGGACAUGUGUACACUGAUGGUAGAAUGACUUUUCUAAUGGCUUGGUCAAAGGCAGACUCCUGGCUUGGCAAGCGUAGGAUAAAAGGGCCCAGCCUGAAACAAGCAUACUGCUAUGUCUAGCAUUUGGCUAGUUGAGUCUAAUGCCAACACUGACAGUCAGGUCCCGGGGCCACUCAGGACUCUGUACAAGCUCCACUCACAGUAGCUGGAUAGUUCUCUAUUAGCUGCUGUGAGAUAGGUAAUGUCCUAAUUGCCAUCAGUAGGCUUCAGAGUUAACACUAACUGGGAUGUACAGGGGCAGUCCAGAGGGAUUGUUCUUAUUUGAAGUCUUGGAAAAGAAACAAAAAAUACACAGAACUGACAGGUUCCUUUAGCAACUGCCAGAAGCUAGAAACUUACAGUUAUUAAAUAUAAACAUCGACCUAACAGAAACUAGUGGGAGCAGUAAGCAGUGCUGGUACAGUGCCCUGGCCAGUACCGGCUCCAGCCAACAAGGAGAGAGUCACCUUUACAACCUCCUUCGGAUUUAAAGGAGCCAUAUGGAUCCCUAGUCCCAUUGCUGCCAUUACCCUACCCUGCUGCUUCUCUGAAAGAAAGGCAACCCUGGCGGCUGUAGAAAUCGUCCUUCCCUAGGAGGUCGUCGUGGGGUAAGCACAGUGCUUGGGUUGUUAAGCAGCCCAUGACGUUCUCUGUAAGAGCAGGAACAUUCAAUCCCAAUGCCCCUGACCCCCUGUACUCUCCCCUGCCUGCCCUAACUCAGGUCGGUUUGCUAUGGGCUAGUAAACUGAGGCUGCAUUUCACCCAGAGGUGGCUGCAGGGAGGCCAGGGCACAGUGUGUAAAGUGCUCAGAGAGGAGCUCAACGAGCACAAGAUGAGCAGCAGUGAUUCCUGGGAAUUACAUGUACCAUACCCUUGCCUCCUUGCUGGGCCACGUGCAGCCACCUGCGCUGGAAUGAGCCAUCUGGCGUCUCCUGAUUGACCACUCAGCCGCCCACGCCUGCCACGCCUACAGGACACAAGACAGCAGGCACAGCUGCUGCUGCUUCUGCAGCCUUGACGCCUCCCACAAGCACGUCUGUCUCAAGGCACCAGCUGAAACAAGCAGCGCUCAGCACUUUCAGCUGCAGCCAUUGAUCGGAUGGGAGCAGCAGUCGCUCCAGAGAUAGAUCUGUUGCUGGCGGAGGCCCAAGCGUCCGAGGCCUCUGCCAGCUCGCUGAGGCAGUUGCGUUUGGUGCAGCAGGCUGACACAGAACAUCUUGGGAACACACAAACCGACUCACCGCUGUGGAGACAAGGAUGGGACUGAGGGACUCAGCUGCAACCCACCUACUAAAGAUCUCAAAGCUGUGAGCAAGGGGGGGGGGGGGAGUGGGGCAAGGGAGACAAGAUGACCUUCAGCAGAAAGCAAAUGCAGAGACAGGGCUGUUCUCCAACCCAACACCACCUCACUGGGAAGGAAACAGGCAGCAGGAAAUGGCAUCGGGGAACUGACCCCCAAGAAGCUCCCCAGGCAGGAAGUAAAAGACUAAUCUGCCCUCGAUUGACCUGAGAGGCCAUCACCCAGGACAGGCACAUGUGGCCGGAGCACUGCAGCCAAAUAUACCUCUCAGCAGACAGUGCAUCGAGUGACUACACUAUGAGAAAACCCACCCCCCCACUUCUAUUUCCUUUAAGCAGCGAUGAAAGGGACCAGAGCUACGGCCCAAGGCGACCCAAGUCCUGUACCACAGAGACAGCAGUAGCAUCCGCCACAGCACUGUGUCAGCACGUAUCACCCUGGAGCAAGCUUGAUGGCUGCUGGAAGGGAGCGGAGUUCCAUCUCCGGCCAAUCCAAGCAUUAGCCUCCCUACUGCCAGAAGAGCCCAUGGGAGGGAGGUCUUAACAGUCCCUGUUGGCUGGGAACUGGACCGAGACCCAGCAGCUCCUGUUAGUAAGGUGACAGCCAGAAGAGAGCAGAAACUGAGGUCAUUCCCAGCCUGGUCCGGAGGAGAGCCAGCCAUCGAGAGGCCAGGCUCCAGAUUCCACUACCAGUCACGACAGCUUCGCCCCCAGAGUCUCCCACAUUCAGCAGCUGCUCAUUCCCCAGGCAGCGCUGGGUGUUACAGAACUGGGACCCCCAACCAGGACAUGGCUUUCGAAACAACCCCGGGCUAAGAAGGCCCGAACCCCUAGUGGAGGGGUUUCUUUCGAUCACAUGUAAAAAACUUUGAGGGUAGCUAUUGGCUAGUGCCUUGUCAAAACAGCAUCUUCUUACUCCCUGAUCUCUUCAUACCACGGCUGGACAAGUGUCAAGCCUGGCAGCACACACCCCCCCCCCCCCCGCGUGCUGACAGAGCCUUUCGCCCAAGGCGUGUUCCUGCAGUAGGUCCCUAUUUCAUAGAUGGGAGGAAAACCCCGCAGUGAGUGACCAUCGAAGGUCACACAGGGAAUUGGGUCUCCUGACUCCCUGUUCUAACCACUAGAACACCCUGCCUCACCCGUGGCUAACGAAGUGAGCCAAGUUAUGACUGCAGAGCGUUUACUGCUAGUGACAGCCUCAGAGGAGGGAAGCUGCUGGCUUUAAGCUUGUGAACGGAGCACUUUUGAUACUGAAGCCAUUGAGGGAGUAGACAGUGCCCUCCCUGUGUCUUUUAUGAUGUCACGUAACCAUAACUUCCAUGCACGGCUUCUCCCAGGACCUUCCCUCCCACUCCUUCCUACCAGUUGGUCUGAGCCCAGACAAGCCUCUUGGAGAGAUGGUUCUGGCUGCUGCUUGUUUUAACUCUUGGCCUGGCCCUUUUACUGAUUGCGACCGAGAAGCCGAUCAGCCGGAGACACGUAUUGACCAGCCGAUCAGUUAAGAGGAGAGGUUGUAACUGACCUGUAUGAAAGCGGCUGCUGUGUUGGCUUGGAAUACAAUACCUGCCCAGGCAUGAGGAAGGUUAACGAGUCCCAGUGACCUUCCAAGCUGGGCUCAUCUAUCACUGGGGGGGGCGGAUGCUAAAGGAGAAACUAGUAAGUCUAACAGUAAAAGGCUCUGCUGUCAGCUUGGACUUGUGCUGAACAGUUAUUUCCCGACACCACCCUGGGAGCUGCUUUGGUCCUGCUGACUCAGCUGGCUGCAGGCUCUGCUGUCAGGGGAGGGAGGCGUUUGGAAAGCGUGCAAGUCAGAUCUGGAGAGGGUGGUGGGCAGCCAACUACAUGAACUUGCAGUAGACUAGGAUGCGAGGAGAAAAAGCGCUUUUUAGGCUGCACAUACCGAGUGACUUCUAAGAGCCAGCCACACGGGGGAUGUGGUGGGGCAGGCAGUUGUCUGAAUAGGUAAAGGAGCUGAAUGGGGGGUUUCAGAUGGUCCAUGGUGGGUAGGAAUAAUGGGAUGAAGUGAAAGAGAAAGCUCUUCCCAAGGGGAUCUGUUCAGCUGAGGUACAGGCCCUAGGGUAAGUGAUGGGAGCACCGUAACGGAACACCAGCUUGGACAAACAGGUUUGGAAGAUGAGCUUUUUAUCAGUAAAUAAUCUGUGUCAAUUUCAUCGUACACCUCUAAACCAAUGAAAAAUCUUCUCAGCAAUAAUCAAAGUUUACAGAUGGGAAAAUACAGCUGAGAAUUUAGUAGAGUUUGAUUUAAGGCCAUUUCCUUCGUAUAUUUUGAUCCGUGAUGUUGACAUUUGUGUUUUAAUGGUUAUAAAGCAUUAACUGUUUGGAUCUCA